AGUUUUGGAUACGCGUUCCACUGUUAGCUCCCGAGGACACGUGUGAAGAUCUCAUCGAGAACGAGUCAUCUAAACAAUUGGAUGAUGGCAGCAAUGAUGAGAAGACCUGGGCAUGGUGGCACUCAUUCAGAACACUCUGUGACUAUAACAAGAGGAUUUGCCUUGCUAUUGAAAUCGGAGAAGACCUGCCAUCUGACACGUUAAUCGACAAGUGGCUUGGAGAGCCAAUCAAAGCAGCCAUUCUCCCUACCAGCAUUUUUCUAACCAAUAAAAAAGGGUUUCCGGUCCUUUCAAAAGCCCACCAGCGAGUCAUCUUUCACCUCUUUAAGCUGGAGUCUCAGUUCAUUUUCACAGGGGCAAACCGCCACAGUGAGAAAGACAUGCGCUCGUACCUGCAGUAUCUGGAGUACCUCAACCAAAACCGUCCAGCGCCUAAUGCCUAUGAGCUCUUCGCCAAAGGCUAUGAAGAUUACCUUCAGUCACCACUGCAGCCUUUAAUGGACAAUUUGGAAUCACAGACGUAUGAAGUUUUCGAAAAGGAUCCCAUCAAAUAUUCUCAGUACCAACAGG